AGAAUAUCUACUCUCAUUCCAAAAGAUCUCGAACCUUCUUCUCCUUUCUCUCUCUGAGCUUUAUGGCACACAGCCAUGGCAGAUGAGCUUUAGCUCAAACACUCUCUUUGAUAAUGCUCAAUUUUGUUACGGUACCAGAGCAAUCCACUGAGGUAACUUGCAAUCUCCUGUCUCGUUUUUCUCUUCAAUUCACAAUUGAAAUUUUAGGUCUUUCUCGAAAUUGUCAAUCACUUUUCUUUCUUGUGAAAUCCUGUUCAAAAUUGCAUUUUUUGACGUGAUAUUGUUUGAUUGCAACAGGUCAUAGCAAUUUUAAGUGUUCUCGAAGAUUUCUCUAUUGAAUUAUCGUCUCCUGUCUUCGAUUCACGGGUUAUAUCAAUCGAGAUUUGUAGUUUAAGUAAUGGUUGGAGAUACUGUAAACAAAGACACUUUAAAUAUUUCAAGUCCCCUAUACAUGUAUCC
rnacentral:lncRNA from 1 species